rnacentral:rRNA from 1 species
CCUACGGGGGGCAGCAGUGGGGAAUCUUAGACAAUGGGCGCAAGCCUGAUCUAGCCAUGCCGCGUGGACGAUGAAGGCCUUAGGGUUGUAAAGUCCUUUCAGCUGGGAAGAUAAUGACGGUACCAGCAGAAGAAGCCCCGGCUAACUCCGUGCCAGCAGCCGCGGUAAUACGGAGGGGGCUAGCGUUGUUCGGAAUUACUGGGCGUAAAGCGCACGUAGGCGGAUUAUUAAGUGAGGGGUGAAAUCCCAGGGCUCAACCCUGGAACUGCCUUUCAUACUGGUAGUCUUGAGUUCGAGAGAGGUGAGUGGAAUUCCGAGUGUAGAGGUGAAAUUCGUAGAUAUUCGGAGGAACACCAGUGGCGAAGGCGGCUCACUGGCUCGAUACUGACGCUGAGGUGCGAAAGCGUGGGGAGCAAACAGGAUUAGAUACCCCCGUAGUC